AUUGAACGCUGGCGGCAUGCCUUACACAUGCAAGUCGAACGGUAACAGGUCUUCGGACGCUGACGAGUGGCGAACGGGUGAGUAAUACAUCGGAACGUGCCCAGUCGUGGGGGAUAACUACUCGAAAGAGUAGCUAAUACCGCAUACGAUCUGAGGAUGAAAGCGGGGGACCUUCGGGCCUCGCGCGAUUGGAGCGGCCGAUGGCAGAUUAGGUAGUUGGUGGGAUAAAAGCUUACCAAGCCGACGAUCUGUAGCUGGUCUGAGAGGACGACCAGCCACACUGGGACUGAGACACGGCCCAGACUCCUACGGGAGGUAGCAGUGGGGAAUUUUGGACAAUGGGCGAAAGCCUGAUCCAGCAAUGCCGCGCGCAGGAUGAAGGCCUUCGGGUUGUAAACUGCUUUUGUACGGAACGAAAAAGCUCCUUCUAAUACAGGGGGCCCAUGACGGUACCGUAAGAAUAAGCACCGGCUAACUACGUGCCAGCCGCCGCGGUAA
rnacentral:rRNA from 1 species